AGAGUCUCACUCUGUUGCCCAGGCUGGAAUGCAGUGGCACAUUCUUGGCUUACUGCAAUCUCUGCCUCCCAGGUUCAAGAAAUUCUCCCACCUCAGCCUCCUGAGUAGCUGGGAUUUCAGGUGUGUGCCACCACACCCAGCUAAUUUUUAUAUUUUUAGUAGAGAUGGGCUUUCACCAUGUUGGCUAGGCUGGUGUCAAACUCCUGACCUCAUAUGAUCCACCCACCUCAGCCUCCCAAAGUGCUGGGAUUACAGGCAUCAGCACCAUGCCUGGCCUAUUGUUGCCAUCUUUAUGUCCACGAGUACCUGAUGUUUAGUUCCCACUUAUAAGUGAGAACAUGUGGUAUGUGGUUUUCUGUUCCUGUGUUAAUUUGCUUUGGAUAAUGGCCUCCCUCUGCAUCCAUGUUGCUGUACAGGACGUGAUUUCCUUCUUUUUCAUGGCUGCAUAGUAUUCCAUGGUAUAUAUGUACCACAUUUUCUUUAUCCAAUCUAUUGUUGGUGGGCACCUACGUUGAUUCCAUGAACCUUGCUAUUGUGAAUAGUGCUAUGAUGAACAUGUGAGUGCAUAUGUCUUUUUGGUUGAACAAUUUGUUUUCUUUUAGGUACAUACCCAGUCAUGGGAUUGCUGGGUCAAAUGGUAGUUCUGUUUAAGUUCUUUGAGAAAUCUCCAAACUUCUUUCCACAGUGGCUGAACUAAUUGAAAUUCUCAAGAAUAUAUAAGUGUUCUCUUUUCUCUGCAGCCUCACCAACAUCUGUUGGUUUUGACUUUUUAAUAAUGGCCAUUCUAACUGGUGUGAGAUGAUAUCUCACUGUGAUUUUGGUUUGCAUUUUUCUGAUAAUUAGUGAUGAUGAACAUUUUUCCAUAUGUUUGUUGGCGGCUUGCAUGUCUUCUUUUGAGAAGUGUCUAUUCAUAUCUUUUGUCAUAGGUACUUUUUAAAAACAGGAAUGAAACAAAGUGUGUCAAUUUAAAGUUGUUUUAAAGGAAAUAUUAGGUUAAAAAUUCGGUAAAUAAAAAAGAUUAGGUAAAUAACAGCACGGGUGGUACAGGAAUAUGGCAAAAAUUAAGAGAUUGGUAUGAAAAUGACUGAUGCUGGAAAACCCUCCCUGACCUACCAAGACACCCCUAACAACUAGAAGACCUUCCUCACAAGGAGCUGAAUUUGCCCCAGAUAGCUUCCACCGUCUAAGCUCUGUGUGUUUCUUGGGAGGCAGGGCACAGGUCUGGUCUUCCAUAGGCAGUUUCUUCAAAUACUCAAAGCCCGAAGAGGCCAUGAAAUCCCUCCCCUUUCCCAUACUCAGCCUUUCCAGCUCCUCUGGCAGUCUGCAGCAUGCCAGAUGACCAAACCCUCUCUCCAUUGUCCCUGCCCCACGUUAAUGUUUGACCAGAACAGACUCUCAUCCUACUUUCGGGUUGUACCAGUCAAAUUGUGGGGAUGGAGGCAGCUCCCGCCACCUUAGCAUCCAGGUCACAGCAAAGUUCAAGGAACUUAUAGUGAAGAUCAAUCACACUUAUGGCACUGCCAACAGAAGCACAUGCUUGUGGAAAAUAGCGUAAAAGAAUUUUAAGGAGGAGAGCUGGGCUCUGAAUUACACCAGAGGCAGAGCGUCUUGACAGUUUUCAUCAGAAGCCACGUCCUGGAGGUAGCGAGCUGUAAACAGUCGUUAAAAGCAACGGAGGAAUGUGUUAGGGUGGGCCCAGGAAGGUGUCAGGCCACGGCGGGCACGUGAGGGAAUGGGCACAGCCUUCAUUGUAGGCACAGAAGCUGGAGUCAGCGGGAGGAGGCAAGCAGGCAAUCGAACAGAAUGGUGAGUUGUCCUGCCGAGGAUCACCAGAUCCCGGAUCAAGAAUCCCUGGCAGGGUUUUCAUGACUACGGAUCCCCAGGUGCCACAGGGACCAGUUGAUUCAAAAGAGGUUGUGGAACAUUAGUAAACAUUUUGCUUGUUUAUUGUUUUUGUUUUUUUUUUCUGUUAACUCCCUUGAUGACUUAAUGUGUGGUCAGAGUUGAGACUAAGCAGUUACAGAGUGUAGAAUGCUGGAUAUAUAAUGAAAUCUGGGUGAACUAAACAGAUGUGAUCCCUGCCCUCAUAGAGCCUUAGAGCCUGGGCGAAGAGAUAAACAUUAAACACAAAAUAAACACACAAUUACACAUUGUGGCUUGGGUUACAAAGGAAAAGAAUGGGGUGGAGGUCGUGUGUGUUACAGCAAAUGGGGCAUCUUUCCAAUUUCUGGGAGAAGACACUCAACGGCUAUAAACACCAUAGAAUUCAGCUCCAUGAAAUCAGCUAUAUAAAUUGUGACUAAUGCUUCCGUGUGUUGUGCAAUGGUAUAAACAUUGCAAAAUAUAAUCAAGAUUAAAAAUUUUAAAAAUAAAAUACCAAGCACUAUCUCUGUUUGCCCUCUCUGUGUUGUAGACACGCGGUGCUAGAGAAGGCCUCACCCCUAAAGCAAAAGAGGGCAUUUUGACUCUAAACUUCAGAGAAGCAUGGAGGACUGGGGCAGAAACCAUAAUGAGGAUGUAAGAGAGUCUUUGAGAAAGAUGCAGCAGGAUCUGGUUCAGCCUGGAGAAGAGGAGGCUGGGAGGGCAGAUGGGAGGGGAUGUCCAAACAUAUCCUGAGUUUUCUUAUACCGAGGAAGAAAGAUGAGUUUCAGCUUCUUCAAGAAUUGUACAUGGCCAUGUGCGGUGGCUCACAUCUGUAAUCCAAGCACUUUGGGAGGCUGAGGAGAAAGGAUCAUUUGAGUCCAUGAGUUCGAGACCAGCCAGGGCAACGUAGUGAGAUCUGUCUUUGCCAAAAAUUUUAAAAAUCAGCUAGUUGUGGUUGUGCAUGCCUGUAGUCCCAACUACUUGGGAGGCUGUGAAGUGGGAGGAUCACUUAAGCCUGGGAGGUUGAGGCUGCAGUUAGCUGCGAUUGUACCACUGCACUCUAGCCUGGGUGACAGAGCAUGGCCCUGACCCAAAAGGAAAAAAAAAAAUUAUACAGUAUUUGGGUGAAUAGUUUAUCAUUUAAACCAUAGAGUGUUGGGGAUUUGGAAAUUAGUGUUCACGGGAGAAAUCGGAGGGACAGAAUGGGAAUUAAUAUAUAGUAAUCUCAAUAGCUAUAGACUUUUUUAAAAUUACGUGUCCUACCAGGGUACUUUUACCUUCCUUGAACCACAAUUUUGUCAUCCAUAAAAUUCAAGCAGUGCUCCUGGCUCCCUGUGGGUAUUUUGUGAAGCUGUGUCGCAUGCUUGCAGGGUGCCAAGCACUGUGCCUACUUCCCUGGGCCUCACUGGGAAAGGAAGCUGUCACCAGUCAAGCAUCUGCCGUGGACCAGGCACUGUGUUUGGAAUUUUAGAAAUGUUAUCUGUUUGAUUCCUCACAACAAGCUCAAUACUUGGAGCUAGGUAUUAUUUUUUUCAUUUUCAGAUGAGAAAAACCGAAGCUCAGGGAACAUUUCCAAGACCAAGAGCUGAGAACUCUGCGGAGCUGAAAUUUAAAUCCAGUUUGUCAGACCCCCCCAAUCCGGUUUGUCAGCCGCCCCCCCAUCCCCAAAUGAGAAUGUGAGAGGGAACAGAGUGGGUGGGGGGGGGGGGGUGGAGUGAAGCCAGGAGAGGUGAAGGAGAGGGAGAAAGAGUAAAGAAGAAAGAGAAACAGGAUGUGAGAAAUCGAGAUUGAGAGACAGAGAAACUGCGGGAGAGAAAGAGCGUGAGAUAAUGACGCAGAGAAAGACAAGGACAUUGUCCCCUCGUCCUGCCAUGGCCCAUAUCCCAGGAGGACCUGUCACCAUGCUCCACCUUGGUGAGACAUUGCCCAAGUUAAUGGGCCCAACAAUAGGGUCAGACUACAUUGCUGCUCCAUUUCCAAGAAAUUCUCCACGUGCAACAUCACAUUUCCUGUAACUCCAGUGCCUCAGGUCUCGACUCAAAGGUCACCUCUUCAGAGAGGCCCCUCCUAAUGAACCUCCUAAGCCCAGGCUAUCCUAUGGAUGCACUCCUCCCACCAUCUGCUCUCCCAAGCUCUGCUGAAACCCCCCUGCGUAGAACAAUUUGCUUCGUAGCUGACUUUCCAUAAACAUUCAUACAAUGGAUACAGAAAUGACACAGAGGUCAGCAUCAGAACCCAGGAUCCCCCAAAGCCCUGUUUCUCUCUUUCACAGCCUCUCUCUACCUUAUUCCUAUCACCAAGGGAUUCUUCUUCUCUUUCCCUCUUUCUACUAUUUGUUAGAAUGGAAAGCACUGGGCCGGUAAAGCUGUCACUCAGGAUAUGAUUUUUUCUCUGCCACUUUCUGGCUGUGUGCUUUUCUUAAAUCAUGGAACUGCAACUGAAAACGCAUGGAUGACAACACAAGGAUUAUUUUAAAGAUUAAAUAAAAUAACUAGGAUGACUGGGCCUGGCAUAUAUUAAGCAUCAAUUAACAUUAAUUGCUUUGCAUCCUUCUCUUUGUUUCUCUCCUCUCCCGUUUUUCCUUCCUUAUAAAUUAAUUCCCUGCCUUUCUCACAAUCUUUACUCCCUACUCAUAAAGCUUCUGCCAGGGUUGUCAGCAGGAUUUAUGUACUUGAAUUGAACUGAGUUAGGUAGGCAUGAAUGCAAGGCAAGUUAUCUCUUUCUAGGGGGAGAAAAAUUUAAGGCAGAGUGAUGUGAGAAGUGUCGACAAGACCCAGGAAAGCCCAGGGAGAGGGGCUGGGGCUAAGGCGUCUGCCCGCUUGGCAGCAGCUGUGAUGUUCGGAGUACGUGUUCAGACCAGCAGUCCCUGAGAUGCUAUUCCACUUAUUCUGGAGGCCACUCUGCUCUUAGCCCCGCUGGGCAGGUAGAUUUGGAAAUGUUUAUUGUAUCAGAUGUGGGAUGGAAGAAAGAAACCUGAAUUGGGAAUGAAGAGGCUUGUUCCACCUUCCCUCAAUCCUGCCAGUAGCCAGCUACAGAGCUUAGGAAAAGUCUGUUUACCUCCCUGGACCUCAGCCUACCCUCUGACAAUCAAAGGGAGAUCACAGUUUUGAAGGCAUCUACCAGCUCUGAUGCGCUCUGGCUAAACCAGACCAAAAAGUUUUUUACAGCCAUUUUUGAAAAGGGAGUGAGAGAAGAGAACUGCAGAAGCUUAAAGAAGCACCAUUUGCAAAGUUUUUUUUUGUUCUGUUUCCAACAAUCUUACUUAUUCACAGCACAGAUUCUGUUAGGCUUAGACUUGUGUUUCGGUGGCACUGGAUUGAUAGACUCAUACUAAUUGGUGUGGGUGUCUCAAUUUUCUCCGUCCAACUUUGCUGGGGUCUCGCCUUCUCUCUAGUGGAAGCUCUUCUCAGGCUCACAAGAGCUGAGAUUUCUCAGAGGCGCCUGUAGAUGGAUUUGCCUUUUUUCUGCUAUAUCCAUCUGAAGCCACGGCAACUCUCUCUGAGCCAAAACCACUCACUAAUUAAUACAUUUCACAGGGUGAAUGAAGCACUGGCACGACCAGCAGCUUGGGGCAGCUCCCAAAGCCAUGGCCUUGCCCAGUGCCCAGAAAGUCCUGCCUGGAGACGGCCAGUGCCAGUUUCCUCCAUGCCAGCACCUCACCCUUCUCAUUUGAACCCAGAAAUGUGUUGACUUCCAGUGCCCCCUACCACCCUAGCUGUGUCAUUUUCUCCUUCACCUGUUUGCAUUUCUAAGGAAGCACAAGUCACAGUCAUAGGGGCUCGUGAUCUAUUUUUUCUUCUCCCCUUUUCUGGGCAGAAUGAUGGAUCAACUCUGGAAAACCUAUUAGGAAAGGGCUGGGCCAUCCUGCUUUUCUGCCAAGCCUGUCCAGGUGACUUUGAGUCAACCCACUGAGAGCUACUUGGCCACAGGCCAUCUCUGUGGGGCACCAUGUUUAUUUGAACCACUGACCCUGGCCCUAGAAGAAAAGAUGAAGAAUUAGUGAUACCCCUUCUCCCCAUCUAUCCCCACCAGGGGCUUUUUGGAGUGUCUUUAAUUUACAGUCUGUUGGAAAGCACUCAAAAUCACUCUACCCUACACUCAAGGCAGGACCCUUCAUCAUCCAUCUGCGCCAGGCCAGCCUGCAGGCAUAUAUCCCUGAACUUCCCAGUGAGGUUCUGAAAGAACUGGGAAACUGAGGAAGAGACUGGAAAUAGAGGAGGCCCCAGUGAUGGCUGUUUGUAUCAAUCAUCACAUUGAUUUGCUUAGGGAAGUCUUAUUCUAACAUUACCCUGGUUGGUGAUCAGGCCUCCAGGCCCACUGGACUCCUAAGAUAAGACUCCAGCUCCACAGAGUUGGAAGACAAAAUUGUCCGCUCCCUCCUUGCAUUCACCCAGCCCGGGGUCUUAUCUGGCAGAUGAUUGCUUGUUGCUCCAGCUUUCUCUGUCCUAACCUCUACAACCAUAGUCACCAAUGAUUUACUUAUUCUUAAAGACCCAGCCAUAACCUCACAUUUUCCAUGAAUCAGCUAGCCCCCUAUGGUUUCCUGCAAUGUUUCCUUUAUUUUCUAUUUCCUUAUGACAUUCUUUAAAUGAAUCUCCUUCUGUAAUUACCAUUUGACCCCUGGGCUUUUACUCUCCACAUUGCUACAAAAAAAAAAAAAAGUCCAGUUCUUUUUGCAAGACGCCAUUCCUUGUAUAUCUUUCCAUCUUCCAUAAUGCCUACAACAAGGGUGACCACAUCAUAAAUUAUUGGUAAAGAUUUCCUGGUUAUGCCAAGACAGAAAUCUAGCCUGCUUGGUAGUUACAUUUCUUUAGGCAAAAUAAUAAAUUGACUUUCUGCUUUGAAUUAGGCAUAUUUAUGUCAACAGGAGGCCAAAUCACUGCUGGGUGAGUGACCCACUGCUAGGAAGAUGCCCAGACGCCAACUGGGAAAAGCUUGGCCAAGCCAAUCAGGUGCUGCCAGAGCCUUCUUUGUGAUAGCAAUGCCAACCCACUGCUAUCACAAUGGGUUGCAAAGGAGGGAGCAAAGCAUACCCUCCUUUGGGAGAGAUGCUGACACGCCAAGGAAACUAAUGUUUCUAUCUCAGCUGACUCAUUUGCUGAGAACAACAGGUUUAUAAGGCAACUCUUAGCUUGACCCACUCUACUCCUCCAUCAAAAUAAAGAAAUAAAGUUUUCAAACUAAAGAGCAUUAAGAAUGAUAACUUUUCUUUUUCUUGGUACU